rnacentral:rRNA from 1 species
UACAGAGGUCUCAAGCGUUGUUCGGAUUCAUUGGGCGUAAAGGGUGCGUAGGCGGCGCGGUAAGUCGGGUGUGAAAUUUCGAGGCUUAACUUCGAAACUGCAUUCGAUACUGCCGUGCUAGAGGACUGGAGAGGAGACUGGAAUUUACGGUGUAGCGGUGAAAUGCGUAGAUAUCGUAAGGAAGACCAGUGGCGAAAGCGGGUCUCUGGACAGUUCCUGACGCUGAGGCACGAAGGCCAGGGGAGCAAACGGG